UCUCAGUGGAGGAUGGCUGCUCCUUAGCACUGAGAAAAGUCAGCACCCCUACAGCCCGCCAUGGGCCUGGAAGGGAUGUCUCAGUGGCUCUGGAGGAAUUACAUUCAGGUCCCUGGAUUUAGCAACUCACCAGCAACCAGAACUGGUACUUCAGGACUAAAUGACUCUGCAGUGUAUCAGUUCUCAUGAACUUGACCUUCUUCCCACCUUUUCACCCAGUGACUGAAUCAGGCCAAGCUGCGGUGGAGACACAGCUUCGUCUCUCUUCUCCCGGGAGUGGGACUGAAAAGCCAGUACAGAGCAGAUCAUCCCUGCAGACACUCGCUGGGUGACCCCGGGGCACAGCAGGAGGAAAGAAGGGUGAUCAUCCUCACCCUUCUUGGAGGGUGGAGCCACGUUCCAAAAACAGAUGCAGUAAGCACGAACCACACAACAACCCAGAUGAACUUGAACUCAGCAGUUGGAAUGAAUAACCCCUCCUUUCUGCAAGUCACUGCUCACCCUGUGCCUCUCUCCAUUGGUUCUAGUCUCUGCAGCAUUAUAUAAGCUUUGCCCAAAGUAAUGAACAGUUGAAAGUCAAAUGUAAUACUUCACCAAACAACUUAAAAAUGCUUGCACACCGGAAAGGAUUAAGUUGCAGAGAACACAAAUGGACCCAGAGCAACCUUUGCCAAAAGAGAAUAUUGUGCUAAAUGUACAGCCAUAGCUCUUUUCCAUAUGAAGAAACAGUCAGAAGGAUAAAAGAACUUGGUCAAAAUCACACAAAUGCCCAGCCAGGUCCUGUUAAGGUAGGAGUCCCCGCACCACAUCAGAGGGAUGCUCCCAGCCAAGUCAUCUCUGGAGCCUUGGAGAAUCUGGAUGGUCUCGUGCUGGCCCACCUGCCAUGACAAACCUCCUCCAGAGCAUUCCCCUUCCCAUUUUACCUUCUACCACUCCCAAAGGCAGUCUGCUCCAAUGAGGCCUGACUUCGUCUGUCCUAACGUGCACUCGCUCAUUCAAGCAGUUUAGGAAUACAAGGUGCUGUGGUUCUCAACCAGGGUGGCCCAACCUCUAAAAUAGUAGUCCAAGCAGUCUCUACCUCCUGGGCACAUCCCCUCUGCAACAGCCCCAGUAAACGAAUGUCCCAUCCUUGCUUUUUCAAGGUCGGCAACAGGGAGUCCCCUCCUAAAGAAGGUUCUCUCGCAUUGCCACACUCUCAAAGGCUGCCCCCAGUGUGCUUCCUUCCUGUGGGCCUGAUCAGGCUAAGGGCAGAGUUGUCUCUUUCCUUCUCUGAGUCGGACCAAAUCGUCUUAGUAACACCUCUUCACAGUGGUGACCAUGUGUUUCACGGGGGCUGCUGCUGAGCCUUUAUCUCAUCCUUUCAUGGUGGAGAGAGGGAGGAUUAUAAUGAU